rnacentral:sRNA from 1 species
CUGCCAUGGUAGAAGUUUCCCAAGAGGCUCUGCCUCUGCAGGAGGCUUCUGCCCGCAAACAGUGGGCGGUGGUGUGGGUGGUGGUUCCUUCACCAAUGGUUAAUCUUCUUGAAGCUGAUCUCCUGAUAGUGAGUUCUCAUGAGAUCUGGUUGUAUAACAGGAUGUGGCACCUCCUUUCUCUCUCUGUCUUGCUCCUACUCCUGCCAUAUGAAAUAUCUCAUUGUCGCUUGGCCUUCUGGUAUGGUUAUGAGGUUCCUGAUCAGUGUGGGCCUCAUCAGUGGACCUAGUCAGUUGGGACUUGGUCAGUAAGGCCUAUUUACUGGGGGCGUGGUCAGCAGGGGUCUGCUUAGAGAGGGUCUCAUUAGGGGGAUCUAGUAGUGGGGUCUUGGUGAGUGGAGACCUAGUGGCAGCCACUUGUUUGGUGUCUGGUCAGUGUAAAACUAGGCUGCGGGACUUUGUCAAUGGAGACCUGGUCAGCUGGGGCUUCGUGGUGGCCUUGUCAGCAUGGGCUGGGUCACUGGUGACCAGCUCAAGGGGUGCUAUUCAGUGGAGGCCUGGUCACAUGGGACCUAGUCAGCAGGGCCUCCUGGCCAUGUCCUCAUCAGUGAGGCCCUUGUGAGUGGGGCCCUGGUCAGCGCAGCCUGGUCAGUGGGACCUAAUCAGUGGGGGCCUGUUCAGAGCGAGUGCAUUCAGUGGUGGCUUUUGUAGCACUGGCCUGUGGGUGACCUGGUCAGCGGGGAUCUGAGCAGUGGGUGCCUAUUCAGUGGGGCCUACUCGCUAGGGUCACAGUCAGGGGCAUCUGGUCACCUAAGGCCUGGUUAAUAGGGGCCUGGUCAGUGGCAGCCUGUUCCCUGGAGGCCUGGUCAGUGGGGCCUCAUCUGUGGUGCCAGGCAAUGGGGUCAUGAUCAGUGGAACCUGAUCAAUGAGGCCUAGUCAGUAAGGACCUGGUCAGCGAGGCCCUGGUCAGUAAGGUCCUGGUCAGUGGGGUCCUGGACACUGUGGGCCUAGCAGCAAGGGUCUGGUUAGUGGGGCCUGGUCAUGGGGUUCUAAUCAGUGAGGGUGUGGACAGGGAGGACCUGAUGUGCGGGAUAUGGCCAGCAGGGACCUGGUCAGCGGGGGCUGCUGAGCACUGCUGGGAGAUGUCAGGUGCGAUGCACGUUAUCGAGGGCCCUGUGGACAGUCGGGAUGGCCCAGUAGUGCCCAAAGGCCCAGUCAAAACUGGACAAAGCAGGUGUUUGGAUGGACCUGGGAGAUCUUGCUCAGAGAUUCCAACAGGACAAAGGUAAAGGAAGGGCCGGAGUGGCCAGAUAGAUGGUCACAGUCUAUGGGCUGCACAGGAUGGAGGAAGCCAGGGAACAGGCAGGGUGAGCAGCAGGGGUGCAGGGAGAGGCUGGUGCAUGCUGGGAGGUCAGACCCUGAGAGGGCUGUGGGGGCAUCAGGUGGGGUGGGCUCCAGGUGCACCUUCAAUGCACUGGGUGGGUCUCAGGCCAGGCUCCCUGGACCCUGGUCGGGUGAUGUGGUCACUCCCUGGGGGACUGCUGUCAGGCACCGGGCACCCACCAUGGGCAGCACUGUCCCAUCUCAGGACUGGACUUUCUCAGAUCCUGCAGAGGACACAGCCUCCAGCCCAGGAGGGGCAGCCCCUUGGUGCAGCCGGAGCUCUCCAUUGGCCUGGAGUGUCCCCUGCCAGCCCUCUGCUCCCUCUUCUCCCUGGUCCCGCUUUUCCAGUGUCAGCAAGCAGAGGGGCUCCGUCCUCCCUUCCCUAUGUGUCUCCUGGGCUGAAACUUGCAGCGGAAUGGGACAGGGAUGGUGCUUCCCUCAGGCCCAUUUAGGGAGGAGACUGACUCCCAGCCUGGCACAGGUCCUCAGCUCUGCCUUGGUUGCCUUAGAGUGAGCAGGAUCAGUCAGUGCCCUGAAGGUAGAGCUAAGAGACUCUCCUUGCUGUGUGAGGCUGGUCUAGGGAUGGAGGACUUAACAGGUCCUCCCAGUCUGUCAGGCCUGGACAGUACUGUCUUGUCUCAGGACUCAGAAAGUCCAGUCCUGAGAUGGGACGGUGCUGCCCAGGGUGGGUGGCCAGGGCCUGACAGCAGUCCCCCAGGGAGUGAUCACGUCACCCAGCCGGGGUCCAGGGAGCCUGGCCUGAGACCCGCCCAGUGCAUUGAGGGUGCACCUGGAGCCCACUCCACCUGAUGCCCCCACAGCCCUCUCAGGGUCUGACCUCCCAGCAUGCACCUGCCUCUCCCUGCACCCCAGAUGUCCACCCUACCUGUUCCCUGACUUCCUCCAUCCUGUCCAGCAGGAUGGGCUGGACAGUGGGACAGCCUGUGUGCACAUUUUGUGGCAAGUAGGAGUGACACCAUCCCUGGGAGGCACCAUGGUUCCUGCCAAACCCAACCCUAGAACUCUGUCCCUGAGGUCGUUUCACCAAAACCCAAAACCCAGAACUGUGGUUGUGGCUCAGGGGUCAGCACCUGCUAGUACCAGGACACUACUGGGAGGCUGGGACCUGACUGAAGCCCAUGGUGUCUGUGGCCUGAGGACAGGGUGUGUUGGGGCCAUAAGGCCCGGCCGCCAAUGGCCAUUGGGUCCUAGGGCCUCAGCCCCGGUGUUUGCCCUUCCCUGGCUCCUUCUUGUUCAGUCCCAUUAGGACCCUGGAGCCCAAGACCCAGCACCCAAGGUCCCCUCCAGGAAUGCUGGCAGUUUGGCUUCCUUUAUCAUGUUUCAUCUGAGAGCAAAAAUGUCAGAUCGGAUGCACAGAAAAAUGGCCCAAAUUGUUUAAUGACUAGAAGAAAUAUAGGAGCAGCAAGAAUGUAAUGUGAAGAGGGGAGGGCCUCCAUGACCGGUGUCUGCAGAGCCAGGGGUACAGGCACACACUGUUGUGGCCUGGCACCACCAGCGUCUCAGAGGGUGGGUGGCACACUGUCCUUACCCGGAGGACAGCAGGCCUGAUCACCAGCUUUUCUACAUGUCCCUGUAAGCAUCACGUUGCUAGAAGAAAAUCUCAUGCCAGAGCUUGGACCAUCCCUAGCUCAGAGGUUAGGGGUUGUCUCUUGGUGACCUAAAUGAAAAAAUAAGUCCAGAUCAGAGUUCCUGACGCAGAGCACUCAUCCACUCUUUGAAUCGUGGGAGGGGAGGCCUCGUUUUAGGUAAACCUAACCUCUUUGAGGAACCACAGAGCCCAAGACUGGAAACCUUCAGAAUCUUCUGGCCCCCAACCCUCCCUGGGGACCCCUGUGGCCUGUCUCACCAGAGCACUCUUCUGUCUGUAGAUGUCUCAGCUGCUCUACAAGGGGGUCCCAUUUCAGGUGUGGGGCUAGGCAUGGUCACUCCUGCUGGAUGUCUAGAAGGUGGAAAUUAAGGACCAAGAAAAUACCAGAUACAGCCUUUCCACCCUCAUCCAGAGCAGGACAAACAGGCCAGGUGGUGUCAGGAGCCCAGGUCUCCAGCUGGAGGGAACGUCAACCCUGCAGUGGGAGCAGGGGCCCAUCGCACAUCCUAGGCACAGAUGCUAAUGUAGGCACCGCAGGAAUUCUAGUGACUAUGUUGCCACCAUCUUGGAGCUCCAUGCCCUCAUAGUAUAGUGGCACCAGCAGAUCUGCCUGUGCAUGGACUUCCUGUACUACCUCACUCCUGAGGGGAGAUGCUUCUGCAGGGCCUAUGAACUGGUGCACAACUUUAGCCACCAUCGUCCUGGAGCAGCGCUACACCCUCACUAGCCAGGGUGUCGACAGCCUCAAGGCCAAGGCCACAUUCAAGACUUUGGACUUCACUGAUGCACUUGUGCCGAGCAAGCUGUUUUGCAGAUCCUGGUCAGAGUAAAACAUUCCAUGGGAACUCGGGCUGUGAGAAGCAUCCUAACCACCUGACUGCAGAAACAUCCUUAUCACAUCCUGCUGGGCAAAGGCCCAACAGCCUGACUUCAGGAACAUCCUUAUCAUCUUCUACUGGGCAGCAAGCUAUACUGUCCAGAGCGCUCCCUCCCAGCCCCAUGAUUACCCCAGCCUGUGAGCGGCAGUGGGUGCUGACACUAAGCUGGUUUCCCCCUCCGCAGGGUUUUGCUAGUAAUAAACCUGUGUUGCUGUUGAAGCGGC